rnacentral:misc_RNA from 1 species
AAGUCGUAACAAGGUUUCCGUAGGUGAACCUGCGGAAGGAUCAUUAACACGUUUCAAACGUAUCAACAAACCGGUUAAAUGCAAACACAUUCCCUAAAGGGAGAGCUGUUCAGAGAACUCUAGUGAUGGGUGAAUCUUCGGAUUCACAGGGUUUUUUGGACUGGGGCUUCUAGCCCAAGGCUUUCUUCUUUAGGCUAACUCUUUUCUCCAUCGCUAAAACCCACGAAUUUCACCCUUCUAUCAACUUUUGACUAAAUCUUUCGAACGAAGAAAUUUGUUUGGAAUUGUAUAUGAACAUUGUACAACUCUUAGCAAUGGAUAUCUUGGUUCUC